rnacentral:rRNA from 1 species
CCUACGGGUGGCAGCAGUGGGGAAUAUUGGACAAUGGGCGAAAGCCUGAUCCAGCCAUGCCGCGUGUGUGAAGAAGGCCUUCGGGUUGUAAAGCACUUUCAGUGGGGAAGAAAGCCUUGGGGCUAAUACCCUCGAGGAAGGACAUCACCCACAGAAGAAGCACCGGCUAACUCCGUGCCAGCAGCCGCGGUAAUACGGAGGGUGCGAGCGUUAAUCGGAAUUACUGGGCGUAAAGCGCGCGUAGGCGGUCUGAUAAGCCGGUUGUGAAAGCCCCGGGCUCAACCUGGGAACGGCAUCCGGAACUGUCAGGCUAGAGUGCAGGAGAGGAAGGUAGAAUUCCCGGUGUAGCGGUGAAAUGCGUAGAGAUCGGGAGGAAUACCAGUGGCGAAGGCGGCCUUCUGGACUGACACUGACGCUGAGGUGCGAAAGCGUGGGUAGCAAACAGGAUUUGAUACCCGAGUAGUC